rnacentral:lncRNA from 1 species
GGAUCCGGUUAACACCCUGGGACCGCUCAACACUGGCGGUCUCUGUCCCCAACUGCCCCAGCUGCGCGCGCCAGACGCCUGCGCACUGAACGCAGGCGGGCACUCCCAGAAACACCCGCGGCCCGGCUGUUGGCGCUAGCGGGUUUCAGCCGCGGAGUCCAGGAACCUCGCGGAGAGUUAGUAAACCCGACAUCCUAGCGUUCUGGCCCGCCAACCUAUAGCCUUCCCCGCGUUGGACUACAUUUCCCAGAGCCACCGCGUCCCCAAUGCGGCUUCAUUUCCGUUUGUUCGCGCGAUUUGGGGACCUCGCGUGGGGAGGGCAGAGUCUGUGGAGGAUCUUGGCCCGGCUCCGGCUGGGCGGGCGAACCCGAAAUCGGGGCUCGGACCCGGGAGCCAGAUCCUGGAUCGUGAACCGCACCUUCUGUCGAGAGCCCAGAGGAGGAAAAAAUGGCUGUUACACAUUCAAAAGCAAAGUCUGAGCUCUGCCCUUUUCAGACUCUGUGCUUCUCUAAGCUAGGAAUCCAGAGGAGGAUUGAUAAUUUCUUGCAGUGCUAAAAACCAUGGCUCAGGUAAAGUGGUGUUUUUGUGCUCUCUUUAAGUAGUCGCUUUUUACAGAGUGUAUGUACGUUUGCAUUCCUUAUUUCUGAGAUUUCCUUCCUAACUGAUCCCACUCAAGAAUGUGCUCCCCAGCAUUUCAUUCUUAUAAGUGAUAAGGGUCUUCCCUAAGUUUGUCUUUCUUAUCUACAAAAGAAUGAAACUGGACCACUGUUUUAUAUUUACAUAAUUAUUCAAAAAUACUUUG